UACAGAGGGGGCAAGCGUUGUUCGGAAUUACUGGGCGUAAAGGGCGCGUAGGCGGUCUUGUAAGUAGGGUGUGAAAGCCCCCGGCUCAACCGGGGAACUGCGUCCUAAACUGCGAGGCUAGAGUGAGGUAGGGGUGUGUGGAACUUCCAGUGGAGCGGUGAAAUGUGUUGAUAUUGGAAGGAACGCCGGUGGCGAAAGCGACACACUGGACCUUGUCUGACGCUGAGGCACGAAAGCCAGGGGAGCAAACGGG
rnacentral:rRNA from 1 species